AUUGAACGCUGGCGGCAGGCCUAACACAUGCAAGUCGAACGAGUGGCGGACGGGUGAGUAAUGUCUGGGAAACUGCCUGAUGGAGGGGGAUAACUACUGGCAACGGUAGCUAAUACCGCAUACCAUCAGAUGUGCCCAGAUGGGAUUAGCUUGUUGGUGGGGUAACGGCUCACCAAGGCGACGAUCCCUAGCUGGUCUGAGAGGAUGACCAGGCACACUGGAACUGAGACACGACCUAGACUCCGACGGGAGGCAGAGGUGGGGAAUAUUGGACAAUGGGCGCAAGCCUGAAGAAGCCAUGCCGCGUGUAUGAAGAAGGCCUUCGGGUUGUAAAGUACUUUCAGCGGGGAGGCGUUACCCGAAGAAGAAGCACCGGCUAACACCGUGCCAGCCGCCGCGGUAAUA
rnacentral:rRNA from 1 species